GAUGAACGCUGGCGGCGUGCCUAACACAUGCAAGUCGAGCGUGAACCGUCUGAAUGAAACUUCGGUCGAGUGAGGAUGGGGAAAGCGGCGGACGGGUGAGUAACGCGUAGGCAACCUGCCCCGUACAGAGGGAUAGCCUCGGGAAACCGGGAUUAAGACCUCAUAAUACCAUUAUCUCACAUGUGAUAAUGGUCAAAGAUUUUAUCGGUAUGGGAUGGGCCUGCGUCUGAUUAGCUGGUUGGUGGGGUAACGGCUCACCAAGGCGACGAUCAGUAGCCGACCUGAGAGGGUAAUCGGCCACAUUGGAACUGAGACACGGUCCAAACUCCUACGGGAGGCAGCAGUGGGGAAUAUUGCACAAUGGGCGAAAGCCUGAUGCAGCAACGCCGCGUGAACGAGGAAGGCCUUUGGGUCGUAAAGCUCUGUCGAGAAGGAAGAUAAUGACGGUACUCCUCGAGGAAGCCCCGGCUAACUACGUG
rnacentral:rRNA from 1 species